CCUUAGAGUUUGAUCCUGGCUCAGGACGAACGCUGGCGGCGCGCCUAACACAUGCAAGUCGAACGAGCGAGAGAGAGCUUGCUUUCUCGAGCGAGUGGCGAACGGGUGAGUAACGCGUGAGGAACCUGCCUCAAAGAGGGGGACAACAGUUGGAAACGACUGCUAAUACCGCAUAAGCCCACGACCCGGCAUCGGGUAGAGGGAAAAGGAGCAAUCCGCUUUGAGAUGGCCUCGCGUCCGAUUAGCUAGUUGGUGAGGUAAUGGCCCACCAAGGCGACGAUCGGUAGCCGGACUGAGAGGUUGAACGGCCACAUUGGGACUGAGACACGGCCCAGACUCCUACGGGAGGCAGCAGUGGGGAAUAUUGCACAAUGGGGGAAACCCUGAUGCGGCGACGCCGCGUGGAGGAAGAAGGUCUUCGGAUUGUAAACUCCUGUUGUUGAGGAAGAUAAUGACGGUACUCAACAAGGAAGUGACGGCUAACUACGUGCCAGCAGCCGCGGUAAAACGUAGGUCACAAGCGUUGUCCGGAAUUACUGGGUGUAAAGGGAGCGCAGGCGGGAAGACAAGUUGGAAGUGAAAUCCAUGGGCUCAACCCAUGAACUGCUUUCAAAACUGUUUUUCUUGAGUAGUGCAGAGGUAGGCGGAAUUCCCGGUGUAGCGGUGGAAUGCGUAGAUAUCGGGAGGAACACCAGUGGCGAAGGCGGCCUACUGGGCACCAACUGACGCUGAGGCUCGAAAGUGUGGGUAGCAAACAGGAUUAGAUACCCUGGUAGUCCACACUGUAAACGAUGAUUACUAGGUGUUGGAGGAUUGACCCCUUCAGUGCCGCAGUUAACACAAUAAGUAAUCCACCUGGGGAGUACGACCGCAAGGUUGAAACUCAAAGGAAUUGACGG
rnacentral:rRNA from 1 species